UCCUACGGGAGGCAGCAGUGGGGAAUCUUGCACAAUGGGGGCAACCCUGAUGCAGCGACGCCGCGUGAGCGAUGAAGCCCUUCGGGGUGUAAAGCUCUUUCGUCAGGGAAGAUAAUGACGGUACCUGGAGAAGCAGCUGCGGCUAACUACGUGCCAGCAGCCGCGGUAAUACGUAGGCAGCGAGCGUUGUUCGGAGUUACUGGGCGUAAAGGGUGUGUAGGCGGUUCUUUAAGUUUAGUGUGAAAUCUCCCGGCUCAACCGGGAGGGUGCGCUGAAUACUGAGGGACUAGAGUACGGGAGAGGAAAGUGGAAUUCCUGGUGUAGCGGUGAAAUGCGUAGAUAUCAGGAGGAACACCGGUGGUGUAGACGGCUUUCUGGACCGUAACUGACGCUGAGACACGAAAGCGUGGGUAGCAAACAGGAUUAGAUACCCUGGUAGUCCACGCCCUAAACGAUGCAUAUUUGGUGUGGGUCAUUCAGUUGAUCCGUGCCGGAGCUAACGCGUUAAAUAUGCCGCCUGGGGAGUACAGUCGCAAGGCUGAAACUCAAAGGAAUUGACGGGGGCCCGCACAAGCGGUGGAGCAUGUGGUUCAAUUCGACGCAACGCGAAGAACCUUACCUGGGCUCGAACGGCUUCUCAACGGCGGUAGAAAUAUCGUUACCCCGCAAGGGGGUGGAGUCGAGGUGCUGCAUGGCUGUCGUCA
rnacentral:rRNA from 1 species